CUAAUUCUGUAUCAGACUUCAGUACAAAUAUCUUCACAGUUAAGAAUACCCACCCCGUUUUGUUAUCAUUAUUAUUUUUUUACCUCAGACUUGAAAUGGGUGAGAUGAAGAUAGUAAACGACAACAUGACUUUCUUUUAACAGCACCUUGAAAAAAUACACUGCACUAGCAAAGGCAUUAAGAGGGGGAGAAAAGCCUUCAGACCCAAUGGUUAUAGGGCCCCGCAACGUGUGUGAGAGCAUAAGGGGACACGGUGACAACAUUGUCAUGGGUUAAUGUUAAUGCUUUAUGAGAAGGAAUUUGGUUCAAUUCAUUUACUUCAGAGGACUGUUCUGGACCUUCAUUAGCU
rnacentral:lncRNA from 1 species